rnacentral:rRNA from 1 species
UCUUUGUAAAUAAAAUAUUAAAUAAAGAGUACUGCCUGCCCAGUGACAAAAGUUUAAGGCCGCGGUAUUUUGACCGUGCAAAGGUAGCAUAAUCAUUUGUUCUUUAAUUGAGGACUAGUAUGAAAGGCAACACGAAAGCUUAACUGUCUCCCUUUUGAAAAAAGAAAUUUUUAUUUUUGUGAAGAAACAAAGAUAAAAAUGUAAGACGAGAAGACCCUGUCGAGCUUAAGAAAAUUUUUAUUAAAAAAAAUUAAAAAAAGCUAAUCUUAUUAUUUACUAAAAAAAAUAAAUAAAAAUAUCUUUGGUUGGGGCAACCACGAAGAAAAAACAACCUUCGAUUUCUAAAAAAAAUUUACAAAUUUAAAAAUUUUAUAAAAUCUUUAAAGAUCCAGAAAAUACUGAUCAAAGAAAAAAGUUACCGCAGGGAUAACAGCGUUAUUCUCUUUAAGAGCUCGUAUUGACAAGAGAGUUUGCGACCUCGAUGUUGGACCGGGGCACCCAAGAGGUGCAACAGCCUCUAAAGGUAGGUCUGUUCGACCUUUAAAGCCCUACGUGAU